CCGCCUUUGUCUGCUGCCCUCGCCCGAGGGCCGGAGCGCCUGGGCUGCGGCCUGCCCGCGCGGGCAGCGAUGGCGCCUCCCGCCAGCGCGGCUGGUCUCCCUUCCCCAGCUCGCGGCUCUCGGGCCCUUCCUCAGGGACAGCAGUGAGCUUCAGCCCGUGAGUUAACCACGGCCGCCGCAGAGCCCCCGGAGAGCGGCGAGACAGGAUCGGAGGCAGCUUCUGAACCGCUUCUCACACAGAUCUGUUAGCUUCACACCUAGCGCUCACCCCGCCAGCCCAGCCCAUGAAAAGCAAGCUUGGGUGCUUGUUCACGUGGGCUAACAUGGUCCUGCGAUCGCUUCGUCAGCAGAAACAACUUGACUCAAAUUCUUGUUUCAGAAUGAACACCCAUGCAUUUUUGGUAAAGAUUUUAUUUGCCAAACAUUUUCUCAUCUCUAAAGGAAGUUCAUAGACCUGUAUAAACUUUGACAAGCAAAGGUGAUCUCUGACCCUUGCGAUAAUGGAGUCACAGCAGAGACAAAAGUCCCAAUGUCACAGCUCCCACCCAAGGAUGUUUUUUUGGUUACUGAUCUGUUUGCAAGUCCAGAGUAGACAGAUGACUCCAGUGCCAUACAGAUGUGCCAGACAGAGGAUGGAACAGUGCCACAGGACUACUUUGCUUGCUGUGGCAGGAAUACAAAUUGGCGAUGGAUUUUGUGCUAAAUGCAACCAGCCCCAAUGGACCCCACCUCCAACUKCAGUGUUUGAGUGCAUUACUGUUGAGCCACUGAAUCGCCAAAUAAAUAAGCCUCUUGGGCAACAGCAGACUGUAAUCAGUGGCCAUUGCUUAACUCAAGCAUUUGGAGUGUUUCUGUCAGCUUCAAAUCAAAAUGCCACUGACUUAAUAUCAUCUUGCUCAUUGCUGGGUUCUCCAUGCAAAGCAGCACCUCUUCAUGAUGCUGAGACAAGCAGCUCAGGUGCCAUAAAAACAAGAAAUUUAGUCAUGAUGGGAGCAACUUGGCACAGGAAGACUGUCCAAAGAUUUCCCCACAGGGCAGGAAUAGCUAUUUCUCUUAUCAGGGAUGGUGGCUGGCGGUGGUGGCUGCACGCUCCUGUUCAGCUGCAUGAUGCAGCUCUGCUGAAAAUGAAGGUUUUGGAUCUGGUAACUCAGAACAGAGUCUGAUCCUGUAAGAAGCGAACACAGUACAUUCCUCUACAGACCUGAACUGCUUAAGACAUUUUUUUUUUUUCUCCAAUCAACCAAAACCUAAAUUCUUGCUCUGGGUCCAGAACAAGUUGAAAAUCCCAGGUGGGUUGAAAUCAAAGACAAAAGUAAGGAAGGAAGUGUAUUGAUGUAAUUUAUUACAGAAGUGCCUAAAGACCAACCAUAAAAGGAUCUUGUGGUAGCAGGUACCAUGCAAUAGAGAAUAAGAAACAGCUCUUGCCCGGAAAAGCUUCCAAUCUUAGACUAAGCAGACAAGGGGAACCUGUAAUAGGAUGAAAGAUGGUGUCUCAGAGAGACACCCAUUAGCGCAAUCUAAAAUGAAGCUACAUGUCUGUCAGACACAGCCGACUUGGCGCAUUCAGCAAAGCAUUUAAGUGAAGUCUGAGUUUUGGACAUAUGAAUAAGUCCAGUAAAACCAGCACGUUACCACAGUACAGGCCUGCAUAUCCCCCCACAGGCAUGUCCACCUUCAGAAGGUGCUGGGUUUAAUCUGAGACCUUGCAGAAGUCAGCACACUGACAGCUUUAAGACAGGCCUUAAAGGCCAUAAAUGUACAGAAGAAAGUGUAAUUCRCCUCAGCAAACUCGUGCCUGGCAAAAAGGUGAUGGGUUUGCUGUACACAGGGUAGAUUUUGAUAAUGGUGGGUAACACUGCUGCCUAAAUAAACAAGAAAAGAGUGUGAAUAUUCUUAGUAAC
ensembl:lncRNA